rnacentral:rRNA from 1 species
CAGUAGCCGCGGGAAUACGUAGGGUGCGAGCGUUAAUCGGAAUUACUGGGCGUAAAGCGUGCGUAGGCGGUGAGUUAAGUCUGCUGUGAAAUCCCCGGGCUCAACCUGGGAAUGGCAGUGGAUACUGGCUCGCUAGAGUGUGUCAGAGGAUGGUGGAAUUCCCGGUGUAGCGGUGAAAUGUGUAGAGAUCUGGAGGAAUACCGGUGGCGAAGGCGGCCCCCUGGACAAAGACUGACGCUCAGGUGCGAAAGCGUGGGGAGCAAACAGGAUUAGAUACCCCCCGUAGUCCCUGUCUCUUAUA